GCGCCUGUAGCUCAGUUGGAUAGAGCAUCGGAUUUCUAAUCCGACGGUCGGGGGUUCGAUCCCCUCCAGGCGCGCCA
rnacentral:tRNA from 1 species